GGGAACUGGGGGGACGGGUGCGGGGUAAUACGGGGGGGGCGAGGGUUGGCCGGAAUCACUGGGCGUAAAGGGCGCGGAGGCGGCUUGGUAAGUUGGGGGUGAAAGCCCGGGGCGCAACCCCGGGUCGGCCGUGGCAACUGCUGAGCUGGAGCACUGUAGAGGGAGGUGGAAUUCCGGGUGUAGCGGUGGAAUGCGUAGAGAUCCGGAAGAACACCGGUGGCGAAGGCGGCCUGCUGGGCAGUGGCUGACGCUGAUGCGCGACAGCGUGGGGAGCAAACAGGAUUAGAUACCCCGGUAGUC
rnacentral:rRNA from 1 species